GCAACCAUGGUGUAAUGGUUAGCAUACGAGACCAUGAAUCUCGCAAUCCGUGUUCAACCCUCGGCAGAGCU
rnacentral:tRNA from 1 species